rnacentral:rRNA from 1 species
GUGGGGAAUUUUGGACAAUGGGCGCAAGCCUGAUCCAGCCAUGCCGCGUGUGGGAAGAAGGCCUUCGGGUUGUAAACCACUUUUGUCAGGGAAGAAACGGCUCUUACUAAUAUUAGGGGCUAAUGACGGUACCUGAAGAAUAAGCACCGGCUAACUACGUGCCAGCAGCCGCGGUAAUACGUAGGGUGCAAGCGUUAAUCGGAAUUACUGGGCGUAAAGCGUGCGCAGGCGGCUUUGCAAGACAGAUGUGAAAUCCCCGGGCUCAACCUGGGAACUGCAUUUGUGACUGCAUGGCUAGAGUACGGUAGAGGGGGAUGGAAUUCCGCGUGUAGCAGUGAAAUGCGUAGAUAUGCGGAGGAACACCGAUGGCGAAGGCAAUCCCCUGGACCUGUACUGACGCUCAUGCACGAAAGCGUGGGGAGCAAACAGGAUUAGAUACCCGAGUAGUCC